GAGAGAAGAAAAAUCCAUGGAGGCUGUGGCAAAUUCAGGAUCUUUAAGCAUCCUUCCUGUUCUCUGCUUGGCUGCAGGUGAAUAUUUAUAGUCUGGUCCAGGAAUCUUGAUAAAUGGAAUAGAUGAUGAUUUUGGUGGAUGAGUGUAGGUUGAUAAUCUUGAUUUUGUUCUGGAUGGUUUUAUUUUCAUGCAUUUAUUUUAUAUAUUUAUUUAAUCUUGCUGUCUGUGUCUAAAAUGAAGCCAGCUACGAUUUAUGCAGAGACAAAGUAAUAAUGGAAAAAGGAGCUGCUUCAUUGUGCUGGUAAGGUGUAAUGAUUAUUAGAUGUGAGCAGUGUGCUGGAGGUUUGAAGGUAAUUGUGAAACACUAGGAACUCAGUGUAUGAUGGCGUUUGCUGAUUGUAUCAUCUCUGGAAUGGCAUGGAAGCUAUUAUAUUUAAGACAGCGAAAUCCAUGGGUUAUGAUGUGGUCUGCUAAAGACAGAUCUGGCACAUGAUGUUUUCUUUCAGGUGCUUGAUCACAGUUGCAGGGUCAGUGCUGGAUAACAACGCUUAACACGUAGGAGGGACACUGGUAGAUUUAUGUGUUCUUUGGUGCAACCCCUGGAAUAACUAGAAGAUGUAGCAAAUGGGUGCAGGAGUUGUAUGGAGUGGGGGCAGGGCAGUAUGUAGACCAGUGGAAGCUGGAAAUUAAAUGCCACUGCUUAUUAUUGUUAUUAUUUAUAAAGCACCAAACAAAUUCUGCAGCGUUGUACAAUGGAUUGACUAACAAAUGCGUAUUUGUAGCCAGACAAGUUGGAUGCACAAGAACAGAGGGGGUUAGGGGCCCUACUCAAAUGAGCUUACAUACUAGAGCUUAGUGCAAUGUAUUCAUUUAACACUGAUUUUUGGUGAAAGAAAAAAAAGAAAUUGCUUAUAUUUGGCCAAAUGUAUCAAGGUGGGAAAUAAGCUAAAUUAGAUACACUAUUUGACCUAAAUGUAGCAUUUUGUUUUUCAGUUCAUCACAACUGGAUUUUUAUAGAAUAGACCUAUGUGGGUUUGAACAUUGUGCCUAUUGAAGAAGUGUGGCAUGCAUAUCUGAGGUGUUCUGGAACAUAAUGACAGUAUUUACCUGUAUUAUAUUGUGUACUUUAAAAUUUAGGGGGCAGGAAGAAUGAUAUGGGUUUUGGUUAUGUGUGUGUUUUUAGGGUUUUGAAGGGCAGAGAGUUCCAGCUUUAGAACUGUGUGGGCUGGGUGAGGGGGAGGAAGGAGUCUGAGAAUAGUCAAGAGAUGGAGUCACACAGAUGUGUCUGGAAUAGCAAUGGAGAGCAGUUACUGUGGUGGUUAAACGAGAGAGCAAAUAAAAUGGCAGGGAUGUGCAAUUAGAGAAUGUUCUCUGUUGUAAAAGUAUUAUUACACAAUGGAUCGUCAGAAGAGGUGAAUUAGUGUGGUAGGAUUUGAAAUGGCAGGAAACAUGACAUAACUAUGAGUAUGUACUGUUGGGAGGCGAACAAGUAUAUAAAUGAAAGUGAGUUAUUAAGAGAUUAUUUAUUUGAGGCAAUUUAUAUUUAAGUAAUCACACUUUAGACUUUUCAUUCUACACUGUGCAUUGUAUCUAGCCCAGGUGAGCCAUGCCUAUGCUUAUAAACACAGGAUCUGUUUUCUCCCUAGAAUGAAGAUCUUGGUGGAUUGCUUUUGCCUUUAUACUUACAGUGAGCAAUAAACUACAUUCUCACAUUUGAAAUGGAGGUAAGUUGGCAUGGAAUGUUCACUUUUAUAAGUCUAUAGACAAAACCUUAAGAAUUACUGGAAGAAAAUGGUCAAAUGAUCCUCCAGGACAGUGA